rnacentral:rRNA from 1 species
GACGAACGCUGGCGGCGUGCUUAACACAUGCAAGUCGAACGGAAAGGCCCUGCUUUUGUGGGGUGCUCGAGUGGCGAACGGGUGAGUAACACGUGAGUAACCUGCCCUUGACUUUGGGAUAACUUCAGGAAACUGGGGCUAAUACCGGAUAGGAGCUCCUGCUGCAUGGUGGGGGUUGGAAAGUUUCGGCGGUUGGGGAUGGACUCGCGGCUUAUCAGCUUGUUGGUGGGGUAGUGGCUUACCAAGGCUUUGACGGGUAGCCGGCCUGAGAGGGUGACCGGCCACAUUGGGACUGAGAUACGGCCCAGACUCCUACGGGAGGCAGCAGUGGGGAAUAUUGCACAAUGGGCGGAAACCUGAUGCAGCAACGCCGCGUGCGGGAUGACGGCCUUCGGGUUGUAAACCGCUUUCGCCUGUGACGAAGCGUGAGUGACGGUAAUGGGUAAAGAAGCACCGGCUAACUACGUGCCAGCAGCCGCGGUGAUACGUAGGGUGCGAGCGUUGUCCGGAUUUAUUGGGCGUAAAGGGCUCGUAGGUGGUUGAUCGCGUCGGAAGUGUAAUCUUGGGGCUUAACCCUGAGCGUGCUUUCGAUACGGGUUGACUUGAGGAAGGUAGGGGAGAAUGGAAUUCCUGGUGGAGCGGUGGAAUGCGCAGAUAUCAGGAGGAACACCAGUGGCGAAGGCGGUUCUCUGGGCCUUUCCUGACGCUGAGGAGCGAAAGCGUGGGGAGCGAACAGGCUUAGAUACCCUGGUAGUCCACGCUGUAAACGGUGGGUACUAGGUGUGGGGUCCAUUCCACGGGUUCCGUGCCGUAGCUAACGCUUUAAGUACCCCGCCUGGGGAGUACGGCCGCAAGGCUAAAACUCAAAGGAAUUGACGGGGCCCCGCACAAGCGGCGGAGCAUGCGGAUUAAUUCGAUGCAACGCGUAGAACCUUACCUGGGUUUGACAUGGAUCGGGAGCGCUCAGAGAUGGGUGUGCCUCUUUUGGGGUCGGUUCACAGGUGGUGCAUGGCUGUCGUCAGCUCGUGUCGUGAGAUGUUGGGUUAAGUCCCGCAACGAGCGCAACCCUUGUUCACUGUUGCCAGCACGUUAUGGUGGGGACUCAGUGGAGACCGCCGGGGUCAACUCGGAGGAAGGUGGGGAUGACGUCAAGUCAUCAUGCCCCUUAUGUCCAGGGCUUCACGCAUGCUACAAUGGCUGGUACAGAGAGUGGCGAGCCUGUGAGGGUGAGCGAAUCUCGGAAAGCCGGUCUCAGUUCGGAUUGGGGUCUGCAACUCGACCUCAUGAAGUCGGAGUCGCUAGUAAUCGCAGAUCAGCAACGCUGCGGUGAAUACGUUCCCGGG